GAUGAACGCUGGCGGCGUGCUUAACACAUGCAAGUCGAGCGAGUUAGGGAAAAGAGGCUUGCCUCUAGGAACUAAUUAGCGGCGGACGGGUGAGUAACGCGUGGGUAACCUGCCUUGUACAGAGGGAUAGCCGCUGGAAACGGUGAUUAAAACCUCAUAAAGCUAUGAUUUCACAUGGGAUUAUAGCCAAAACUCCGGUGGUACAAGAUGGACCCGCGUCUGAUUAGCUAGUUGGUAGGGUAAAAGCCUACCAAGGCGACGAUCAGUAGCCGACCUGAGAGGGUGAUCGGCCACACUGGAACUGAGACACGGUCCAGACUCCUACGGGAGGCAGCAGUGGGGAAUAUUGCACAAUGGGCGAAAGCCUGAUGCAGCAACGCCGCGUGAGCGAAGAAGGCCUUCGGGUCGUAAAGCUCUGUCCUAAGGGAAGAAGGAUGACGGUACCUUAGGAGGAAGCCCCGGCUAACUACGUGCCAGCCGCCGCCGUAACAC
rnacentral:rRNA from 1 species